UACUAGCACCUUCAAUUAUAUUGAGAACUUCUAUAACCCUAUAGAACCUUUUAUGCUGAAACUAGUAACAAGAGAAAACCNNNCUCUCAUAAUGCAAACAUAAGCCAGCAAGAACCUAUCACUGGCAAUUAACAACCCCCAAACANNAGUAGCAACCUCACUAGAAAACCCUACUUACACCAACUGUUAACCUAACACCAGAGCAUUUCAAGAAAGAUUAAAAGAAAAAGAAGGAACUCGGCAAAUCCAAGUCCCGCCUGUUUACCAAAAACAUCGCCUCUUGCCUCCCCAUAAGAGGUCCAACCUGCCCAGUGACCCUGUUCAACGGCCGCGGUAUCCUAACCGUGCGAAGGUAGCGUAAUCACUUGUUUUCUAAAUAAAGACCUGUAUGAAGGGUAUAACGAGGACUAAACUGUCUCCUUUUUCCAAUCAGUGAACCUAAUCUCCCCGUGAAAAAGCGGGGAUUCCCUUAUAAGACGAGAAGACCCUGUGGAGCUUAAAACAUUAUAACACCUGCCACCACCCCUUNACUACACCNAGUAUUACCCAACCAGCAUCUUGAUUUUAUGUUUUUGGUUGGGGUGACCGCGGAGAAAACCCCAUCCUCCGCGAUGAAAGUGGGNNCCUCCCCCUUAGCAACAAGUUACAACUUUAUGCAUCAAUAAAUUGACAUCCAUUGACCCAAUAAAUUGAUUAACGAACCAAGUUACCCCAGGGAUAACAGCGCAAUCCACNUUUGAGAGCCCCUAUCGACAAGUGGGCUUACGACCUCGAUGU
rnacentral:rRNA from 1 species